GCCACGACAGGGCCUUACUGCUUGAAUUUGAGGGCUCCGUGCUGCAGAAAGCUUUUUUGGUUUCCUUUUGCCUACUGGAACCACAGGCCUUCAGUUUGUGUAACAUGUCACAAGACAACUUCUGACUUCCUCUUCGUACGCAUUUGCGUGUUCUUUGCUUUUGCUUAAAAGCACCAGAUGAAAAACUUGCUCUUUCCUAUAGGGCUCUACCAGUUCUUGCAGAGCCUGCACUUUGGAUGCUGUGUCUGAACAGAGACUGAGCCAGGCUGUAGCACUACCUUCCAUGCAGCUAUGGCUGCCUCGGGAGAGGCCUGGCUUCGCAGCAGUGGUGGAAGAGAAGGCUAGCAAGCUACAGCAGCAAGAAAUGCAGUAAGAGUUAUGAGUUAAUAAUGGUAAUAAAAAGGAGGAAUGAGAAAGAAGGGAAAUAAGAAGACCUAUCAUCUUGCUGGUUUCCAGCCCUCUUUGGUGGUAACUCCUGUGUUUUAAGGUUUUUAACUUAGGAAAAUGAGGAUAAGAGCAUGUGCUGACUUUUUGAAUUCAAUCAAGAUGGAUUCACUUUGUAUGUGAUGGGAAGUGUGUGCUGCAAGGGGAAAAAACAUGCAAAGAGUUGCAGAGAAUACCUCAGCCAUAGUCAAUACUGUGAAUAAAAUGUUGAAUGAAUUACCACCUCCUGAGAGACUGAUCAGUGGAACGUGAGACCCCAACAGCUGAGAUCCUUGGUAAAACGUCCAUAGGGAUCAGCCUGUAGGAAUCUUCAGGAUAACGAUGAUCAGAGUGGCCACAGGGAUUGUUUGGGAGCUACAUGUUGAUACAUGGAUAUGCCCUCCCAAAAGGCCAAGAGAAGACAAGGAAAGGGCAGGAGUGAGAAUGUUGUUAAAAGGAGAAACAAAAUGAGGUUUUAAAGUCGAGCCUAUUUAAGCUAUUUGUAACAAGCUUUGCAAGUAUGGUUUCCAUGUCAGAACAAGAAAAUACAGCUGAUGUUUAUGGUUAAAUUUCUUCAGCCUGCAGUCAUCAUGAAAAGAUCCAAUAAGAAAGAAGAAUCUAAGGGUUCCUGUGAGUUAGGUUUCUGGACUGAGAGAUGUUGUUGUUCUCACUGCUGAAAUUUUAGUUCCCUGUUACCAGAACAUUGCUCAAGUUUCGAGGCAGUGACGGUGAAUGAACUGUUUGUCAAAGAGAAUUCUAC
ensembl:lncRNA